AUUGAACGCUGGCGGCAGGCCUAACACAUGCAAGUCGAGCGGAGCGGCGGACGCGGACGUAAUGCCUAUGACUCUGCCUGGUAGUGGGGGAUAACGAUCGGAACCGGGCGCUAAUAUCGCAACCUCUCAGCAUAGGCUAGGUCGGAUUAGCUAGUUGGUGGGGUAAAGGCCUACCCAGGCGAAGAUCCCUAUCUGGUCUGAGAGGAUGAUCAGUCACACUGGAACUGAGACACGGUCCAGACUCCUACGGGAGGCAGCAGUGGGGAAUAUUGGACAAUGGGCGAAAGCCUGAUGCAGCCAUGCCGCGUGUGUGAAGAAGGUCUUCGGAUUGUAAAGCACUUUCAGUGGGGAGGCGUUACCCACAGAAUAAGCACCGGCUAACUCCGUGCCAGCAGCCGCGGUAAUAC
rnacentral:rRNA from 1 species